CCAUAGCUCAGCUGGGAGAGCACCUGCCUUACAAGCAGGGGGUCACAGGUUCGAGCCCNCUGCCAAGGGC
rnacentral:tRNA from 1 species